rnacentral:RNase_P_RNA from 1 species
UGAGUCGGCCAGACGAUCGCUCUUCAGUUUACUGUUGGGAGGAAAGUCCGGGCUCCGCAGGGCAAGGCGCCAGGUAACUCCUGGGAGGUGCGAGCCUACGGAAAGUGCAACAGAAAAUAAACCGCCUACGUAGCGCAAGCUGCCGGUAAGGUUGAAAUGGUGCGGUAAGAGCGCACCGCGCUUCUGGUAACAGAAGUGGCAGUGAAAACCCAAUCCGGUGCAAGACCAAAUAGGGAAACGCCGUGGCUAAGCUUGUCUUAGUCACAACCUGCUGCUCGCAGGAGUUUCCGGGUAGGUUGCUUGAGGCUGGCAGUGAUGUCAGUCCAGAUGAAUGGUUGUCACUCGCAAGAGUACAGAACCCGGCUUAUAGACUGACCCCGUAA